rnacentral:rRNA from 1 species
GACGAACGCUGGCGGCGUGCUUAACACAUGCAAGUCGAACGGAAAGACGCUGCGUUUGUUGGGUGCUCGAUUGGCGAACGGGGGAGUAACACGUGAGUAACCUGCCCUUGACUUUGGGGGAACUUCAGGGGACUGGGGCGAAUACCGGAUAGGAGCUCCUGCUGCGUGGGGUGGGUUGGUAAGUGUCGGCGGUUGUGGAUGGUCUCGCGGGUUAUCAGCUUGUUGGGGGGGUAGUGGCGUACCAAGGGUUUGAAGGGUAGCCGGCACUAGCGGGGGAACGGGCACAUGGGGCCUGCGAGAGGGACCAGAAUCCUACGGGAGGCAGCAGUGGGGAACAUUGCACAGUGGGGGGACGCCUGAUGCAGCAACCCCGCGUGCGGGAUGACGUCCUUCUGGUUGUAAACCGCUUUCGAAUGAGAUGAAGCGUGCGUGACGGUAAUGGGUAAAGAAGCAACGGCUAACUACGUG